rnacentral:lncRNA from 1 species
CUCCAACCCAGUUACACCUCCGACACCAUCAGCUAUGCCGGUUUCGGCUAUCGCCGGUGAGCACUUGAUCUGAUUGAAUCUAGACCAAGGUUAACAUGGUGGCAAACAUGGAGUCCACUGUAACAGGAUGCUCUGGGUAGAAGUUGCUCUUAAGCAGAUCUAGGAUCAGCCUUCCAAUCCCAAAGUUUGACCGUAAUCCCCCCCAAAUCUCAGUCAGUGUAUAGGUUCAACUUCAUCCUACUCCACAGUACUGUAGGUCUCCAUCCUGCUCCACAGUCCUGUAGGUCUCCAUCCUGCUCCACAGUCCUGUAAGUCUCUAUCCUGCUCCACAGUACUGUCGGUCUCCAUCCUGCUCCACAGUCCUGUAAGUCUCUAUCCUGCUUCACCGCCCUGUAGGUCUCCAUCCUGCUCCACAGUACUGUAGGUCUCCAUCCUGCUCCACAGUACUGUAGGUCUCCAUCCUGCUCCACAGUCCUGUAGGUCUUCAUCCUGCUCCACAGUACUGUAG